rnacentral:rRNA from 1 species
AAACUAACAAGGAUUCCCCUAGUAACUGCGAGUGAAGCGGGAAAAGCUCAAAUUUAAAAUCUGGCAGUCUUUGGCUGUCCGAAUUGUAUUCUGGAGAAGCGUUUUCCGCGCUGGACCGUGUAUAAGUCUCUUGGAAUAGAGCGUCAUAGAGGGUGAGAAUCCCGUCUUUGACACGGACUACCAGUGCUUUGUGAUGCGCUCUCAAAGAGUCGAGUUGUUUGGGAAUGCAGCUCAAAAUGGGUGGUGAAUUCCAUCUAAAGCUAAAUAUUGGCGAGAGACCGAUAGCGAACAAGUACCGUGAGGGAAAGAUGAAAAGCACUUUGGAAAGAGAGUUAAACAGUACGUGAAAUUGCUGAAAGGGAAACGCUUGAAGUCAGUCGCGUCAUUCAGAACUCAGCCUGGCUUUUGCUUGGUGUAUUUUCUGGUUGACGGGCCAGCAUCAAUUUUGACCGCUGGAAAAAGGCUGUGGGAAUGUGGCACCUUUUGGUGUGUUAUAGCCCAUGGUCAUAUACAGCGGUUGGGAUUGAGGACCGCAGCACGCCUUUAUGGUUGGGGUUCGCCCACAUUCGUGCUUAGGAUGCUGGCGUAAUGGCUUUAAACGACC